rnacentral:tmRNA from 1 species
GGGGGUGUUAUGGCUUCGACGGAUUGGUAGAUUGUUACACAUAAGCAUGCCGUGCGCUCCAGGUGCACGUAAAACAACUGGUAAACAAUAUGUGCUAGCUCAAACUACGCACUUGCUGCUUAAGUAAUUAAGUAGCACAUCAAUGUAUCAAGUGCCUUUCCUUGUUACGGCGGUGUCGACUUUGAAAGGAUUGUUGUAAAGCCGGAUGAGAACUUUACGAUGAAAUUUUAUUCGUCUACUUUGUUGUAGAAUGUUCGACAUGUAUACGACGAAGGAAUUGUAAAAUGUUGGACUGAGCAUGGAGAAAGUCUAAUAAUCUCUUUUUCGGACCGGGGUUCGAUUCCCCGCACCUCCACUU